rnacentral:rRNA from 1 species
ACUCCUGCGGGAGGCAGCAGUGGGGAAUUUUGGACAAUGGGCGAAAGCCUGAUCCAGCAAUGCCGCGUGAGUGAAGAAGGCCUUCGGGUUGUAAAGCUCUUUUGUCAGGGAAGAAACGGUGAGAGCUAAUAUCUUUUGCUAAUGACGGUACCUGAAGAAUAAGCACCGGCUAACUACGUGCCAGCAGCCGCGGUAAUACGUAGGGUGCAAGCGUUAAUCGGAAUUACUGGGCGUAAAGCGUGCGCAGGCGGUUUUGUAAGUCUGAUGUGAAAUCCCCGGGCUCAACCUGGGAAUUGCAUUGGAGACUGCAAGGCUAGAAUCUGGCAGAGGGGGGUAGAAUUCCACGUGUAGCAGUGAAAUGCGUAGAUAUGUGGAGGAACACCGAUGGCGAAGGCAGCCCCCUGGGUCAAGAUUGACGCUCAUGCACGAAAGCGUGGGGAGCAAACAGGAUUAGAAACCCUAGUAGUCCCAUGAU